CCGCCCGGCCGUAACUCAAGGAGCCCGUACAUGGAAAAGGCAUCUCUACGGGGGCCGGCGUGUCGGAGAGAUGAUAGACCAAGAAACGCUUAUUCUGUAUUGUAAUUAAGAAAUAUUGUAAUUAAAGAUCGUUUUUCCUUAGAAAACCCUUUUUCUGAGGAAAACUAUGAGUGUGCAUGAAUGUAGCCAUAUAUUUUGAUUUGCUGUGUGCCUGUGUGGCUCUGCUUGGGAGCUGCUUGUCGUGAAGCAUGGAAAAUUAUUGGAAAGAGCUAAAUGGGAAAUUUUAGAAUUAUAUAUAUUUAUAUUUGGGUUAUUUUUUUUUAUUAUUUGACUAGUGACCAAAGACUAAACAAAAUCAGUUUCUUAUGUUUACCAAUGAAGAAAAGGGAGAGAAGGCGAGGCUGCUUCCCCCUUGUUCCCAAACUUAAUGCCCAUGUUUGCAUGUAUUCUCUGUGGUGUACCAUUUGCAGUGUUCCACAGCUGGUCAUAGAAUCACAGCCUGGUUUGGGUUGGAAGGGAUCUUAAAGACCAUCUCUUUCCAAGCCCCCUGCCAUGUGCAUGGACUCCUUCUGUUAGACCAGGUUGUUCCAAGCCCCAUCCUGGCUUCCAGAGAUGGGGAAUCCACAGCAUCUCUGGGCAACCUGUUCCAGUGCCUCGCCAUCCCCACAGUAAAGAAUUUCUUCCAGAUACCUCUUUCCCCUCUUUCAUUUUGAACCUGUUCUUUGUUGUCCUAUCCCUGAGGUUCCCGAUGAAGAAUCCCUCUUCCUUGUAGGUCCCUUCAGAUAAUGGAAGCUUAUGUGAGUGUGUGAAAUGUUUGUUUGCAAAGUGAGAUGGUAAUACUCUUAAACUCUGCCAGAAAAAAAAUACAUUUCAGUUUGCUAACAAUCUUUUGUACUGGCUUAUAGAAUAAGGACAUAUUAUUACAGUAUUUCUCCUCUUGUAUUAUUCCUCAAACUUGUGCUGGAGGGAUAUGAUGACUUUGAGGAGAUUCUCCUGAUAGUCCCCCAGAAUGCAGCACAGACCAAAGGCAACCACGUAAAGAGGUCUACAAAUGCCUUGGCAAUUCAGGAAGCAGAGAAUACUGUUAGGAACUGUAAUUAGGAACUGCAAUUAACUGUUUAUUACUUCUGGGAAUGCCAGAGGCAGUUUUCUAACAGGAGUGAGAUAUAAAAUCAAGGUAAUGUAAAAAAGGCAGAGUACCCCACACGCUAUCUGCAGCUCAGGGGGUGGUAGGACAUGUGGACAGCAGCACUGCAGCUGAGCCACCAAUGUGUGCCCUCUUUAAGUUCUGUUAGGCCUUGGUUUGGUUUGGGUUGUGUUUGGUGGAAAUUAAGGGUAUGAAGAGGGAUUGAUUUCUGACAAUAAAGGGAUCUUCUUUGGAGGUAUAGGGAAGUCCAUGAAUCUUUGUUCUCCAUGGCUACAAAUGGAUUUUGUUUCAUCACAGUUAUCUUCAAACGAUAAUGAUGCAGAAGUUGAUUAAUUUUUUGUUAAGGCCUUAUCAGGUAUUUUGAUGAAGUUGGCCAGAAAGGAAGCCAUGGAGAGCUUUAGGUCUGUGGCCCAAGCCAGCAAUUACAUAGAAUUUCAUGGCUGUUUUCAAGCUGUACUGGCUCACUGUAGCUGCCUCUGUGAAAGACAAGGCUAUUAGGGUUUCUUCCAAGAAUGCAGAGAGCCUUGAAAGGGUUAAAAGCAUUGUGCCUAGGCAUACUUGGGCAAGAAUAAGAAGCAUUGUAGCCAAUGUAGGAGCUAGAUGAGACUUGACAAUAUAUAGAGAACAAAACUCACAAAAAAUGAAGGACAAAGCUUGCUAAAACCAGUGAGGAAAUCAAUAAAACAGCUAACAACAGACUGCACAUGCCUGGAGGAGAAAGGUGAAAAGGACAUGGUGAUGAAGACAUCCAGCCUUCAUCAGCAGACUGCUGAGGAAGACCUGGAGCCUUCCUCAGUGCCGCCAUCAGGAUGUGCUGUGCCUUGUGUAUGCUAAUGAUAGUGAUGAGUUUUAGGAAAUAAUUUGCAUAACUGUGGAAAAUGGAUGUAUAGAAAAUUCUCAAAGCCUGACAGGAAGCUCACACAGUGUGCAUCUGUAUGCAAACCUUGAGAUAAGGAAUGCUGACUUAGAAAUGCCAUGGAAUGGAACAGACAUUGUUGAGAGAGAACUAGAACUAGAAACAAGUGUCAAAGGGUGGCCUUACAAAUAAGACUGGAUACUUUGGAGAAAUAGAACUAUGAAAGAUGCAUUGAAGUGAGACCCAAGAGGGAUAAUUUCAGAUGAUUAACUUUAAGGCAUUUACAACAUAGUGUAGCAAAAACUGGUAGACCAAGAAACACUUAUUCUGUAUUGUAAUUAAGAAAUAGUUGCAGUUAAGAAAUAUUGUAAUUAAGAACAGUUUUUCCUUAGAAAACCCUUUUCUAAGGAAAACUAUGACUGUGCAUGAAUGUAGCCACAUAUUUUGAUUUGCUGUGUGCCUGGGUGUGUGCUGUUAGAAGCAGUGAUCCCCGCUCUGAAUAGAGCAAAUACCAAUUUCUUGGACUUUGCCUCAGAAGUGUCGCUUGGCCCAUUUUGGGGUGAUUCAGCCUCGUGUCAGGAAAUUUGCAAGCCUUAGCAAAAUUUGCUUGCAGACAAGCCCCAGCAUCCUCCCCUUAGAGUAACCAGGUGCUUUGCAGCCAGCUUCUGGCCCAUGUGAGUAUGGGGUGUGCUGUGUAAGCACUUGCAAGACUAAGACAAAUCUGCAAGACACUCGCAAUUAAACUUAAUAAUACAGCUGGUGUUGUUCCUUGACCUCAGAGGAGGAACAUGCAAUAGAUGCGGGUGCAGAAAGGCUGACUGACAGUAAUUCAUUUUCUGCUAGGGAUGUUGAUCCUUGUUAUAGCUGCCUUAAACACCAGGGGUCCCUACUGGACAAAAAAAAUAAUCUGUGCUGCUCUUUUCUCUUGGAAAUCCAAACACACUGCAGAUGUUUAUAUGCAGAAUUAUUAUCUUAUUAUGUAGUGUGUCCAUUCGUGUCAUAAGCAUUAGAUCUAGCUUGAAUAUUCAUGGACACUAUUUCUUAUAAAGCAGGCAUUUCCAUGAUGAUGUUAAAUUGUUAAUACUGUUCGUUACAGGACAGAAGAGAAGAUAAUUGUGAAUUAGAGUUUUAAACUGGGAUUUCAGUUCACAGAUGAUUUCCUGUAUUCAUCUUGCAUGCUUUGCUGAGAGUAGAAGACUUUAAAGGUGUGGCAGGAGCUGGAUGUUUUCUCUACUUCCUUGGUUGAAUGUAUUUAUGGUAUUUCUGGAUCUUCAGGUUUUGAAUAAGCUACAUAUCAAUGCAAAUGUAGUAAUUUUUAAUGUUAUGAUUCGUCUGUUUUGUCUCUCAAGAAAUUCAGCAGAACUUGUUCUAUGGGUGUAAACUAAGAAAUGUGUACUGUAAUUACUAAUUAUUACAAAAAGCAGCUUGUACAUAUUCAGAGAGCUCAUAUGGCAGUGCAUCAUCUCUCUGCUGUAUCUAUUUCCUUCCACUAUUAUUUUUGUCUAGGUACUGCCUGUGCUUAUUGAUGCAAAAGAGCUGGCUCCUAUCUGAAAAGUGAUAACCAGACAUUCCAGAUAGCUGACUUUGAAAAACCAGCCUUGCACUCUGAAAGAUGCAUAUGUUGGAGGGUUGAGCUAGAUUGUAAAGUGCACUGAAAAUUGAGAGUUGAUUCUUAGGUUGGUAAUUUAACUGAAGUGGAGAACUGAACCCUAAUUAGUACGCUAAUUACAUCACAUUUCAACCUGCAUUUACCAGAUGACUUUGCAGAGUAAGAGAAAUGGGGGAGAAAAUCAAACUAUUGUCAGCUAAUAUCUAACUCUAAUAAUGCCUCUGCAUCAGACUCUGUUCUGUGGUUUAAAAUAACAGAGAAGUUGAAAAUAACUCUGUGCACCAGUUGGUGACUGAUGACUGUGAAUCAUGAAUGUAGCGUGGUGAUGAGAAAUGCAAGUGUGACAGUGAAAUGCAAGAGGAGGUAUUUAAACCAGAGAGAGGGAAAUAAUAAUGUCAUUAUAUGAAGUUCUCAUAAGCCUUUUUGGAAGUGCAUUGUGCUAUUUGGGGACUACAGUAUUCAGGAGAGUUGAUCUCAUACUUGAAACAAGUGCAAAGAACAGUUUAAAGCUUAAAUUGCACUGCAUAUGUCAGAGUCUUAUCAAAGCACUCUGUGGUACAUGGACCCCUUGGGACAUGCAGCUCCUGUCCAUGGUGGAAUAGCCUCCUGCAGGGGGGACUAUUUCACCACCAUUUGUGCCAAAAACAUAAACUUUUCUGAGUGUACAUGCUUUAUGCAUUCCAGGAUGCUCUCUCCUGCACAGCCUGGAGGCCCUUAGCUGGAGCAGAAUCUUGGUUGCAGCUUUGCAAAGCUGUCAAGACGAUGCCUACUCCUAUAGGGACAGUUUGUGGUGAUUGGUGUGGGGCUGGCCCAGCCUCAUCCCCAGUGGGUGCAGCUGUGAGCAGCAGGUGAGCAGCACUGACAGCAACGAGCCAUGGAGUGCCCAGGGGCACUGAGCAACCACCAAAGGGAGCAGAGGGACACAGGUGCAGUGCAUCAGCAUGAGGGGAUAAAAGGCUGGGCUGAAGAACAAGAAGGGCAGAUGCUUGUAGCCUUCUGAAGUGGUGAGGUGUUGUUCUGUAUGGGCUGAAGCUUUCUGAAAUUUUAUAGUGACACUCUGUGUAUUGUGGCCAUCUCAACUGCAACAUAUGCUGUGACAAACUCCUGCUGGCAUUUCCCUUUCUGAAGCAGUUAGGAGUCACAAGCUCAAGACAAUUCACACCCUGAGCAACAGGACUUGCCAGUGUCUUGUAGGGAAGGAAUAUUCUGGAAGAAAACUGGAGCCUCAGUAAUGCUGAUGGAGAGCAAUUGGUCCUCUUUUCCAGCCUGGUUGUGUACCUUUGUCCCACAUCCUGAAUGAGGAUGCAAGUAUUAACUCCUUUGCUCUCAUACCCAGUAACAUGUCUGGAAAAUCUGUCAUAAGUGGAAUCCUGACUGGAAAGUGAGAUUUCAAAAAGCUAGUGAAGUGCAGACAAAAUCUGUAAAUGUUAUUGUAUGAGGAAAAAUGAAUUUGUAGCAUGCCCUCUUCCAGAACUUAUUAUAGUGAAGAGUGAGAUGUGCACAAGGAUUCUCACUUUUGUGUACUGAGUUAAUUGCUGUGGUCAACUGUAAAGGUCUAAGGAACGUUAAGUUUGCUAAUUCCUGUGGGUUUUUCCUAGGAUGGCAGGAAUAAGGGGUGAAGGCAGGGGCAGACUAAGUAUAUAGCAUUUUAAACGUGUUGCUGUAGUAGCUGGACUAAAUGGGAAGCAGGACCAUGUUGAAGGCUGUGUACAGAGAGUUAACAGGUCAUUCCUGCACAAAGUGCUGCAGUUACACACAUGCUGUGACCUGGUUGUUAGGGAGCCAAGCUUUGCUGGAAGGUGUUAGUUUGUUCUGAAUUUCUGCAAGUUUGUAACACUUUGGAAGUGCUAGACCCUAUUGGCUAAACAAAGUGCAGUCACUUGUGUGUGGGAGUAGGGUGAAGCCAGAGGUGCUGGGAGUCAUCUGUACAUGUUUUUGUGCUUUGUUUCUCCAUAACUGUGCUGCUUCAUAACUGUACUGCUGCAGAGGACUUUCCACUGUAAGGGGAAGGUACAUAUCCUAAGCACACAUUUACAUAUCCUCCCUUCCUGUGUUCCUUUUGCAUACAAAUCAAAGCAUCCAUUAAAGCCAUGCUGCGUCCUUCCUGACCAGCUUUAUCUAUGCAGCGUGUUAGGUAAGAGCAGAUGAUGCAUCUUGGUCAAGCCCAGGAACACAGCCAGUCCUCAACUCUCUGGAGUUUGGGGGACUGAGUUGGUGAUGUAAAUAAGGUGCAAUAUGGAAGCCCAGUCUGCUAAAGACUGCAAACAGAGGCCCAAUGGUUGCUGCUAAUAAUAUUAUUAAGUCUGUGAGCCUUCUUCAAAUGCUGCCUUUUAUCCCUGGCCUGAAGGGUAGGCAGCUGCUUUGUUUAAUAUUUUAUUUCAAGCAGCAUAAUUUGCUGGUUUUUUAUAAAGCUAUCCUGAGCUAGUGGUGUUUCCACUGGCAUAUCUUGUUAAAUUGCUGCAGGGAAAUCUCCCCAGAAGCAAAAGUCAUGCCCAAGACCCAAGGCAUGGCCCUACAACCACGAGGGCAUUCCUGUCUGUUCUCACCACACUUUGAGCAAUCCAUAUACAUGAGCAGACAGGUUCACUGAUCUAAAGAUGUGUGCUUUUAUAGUGUGUCAGGGAUUGUGCUUAAUGAAGAGCGCUGAGGAACAGGGGAGGAUGCCAAGCUAAAAUAUUUAGUAGCCAAAGGGAGUACCCCUGGGACUGGCAUGAGGACGAUCUGGCAGUACUUGUGUCUGUGUUACAUAAGUAGGAUUUGAAUUUUACUCCUAUUUGUACCCAGUUUUCUGUUUUCCAGGUGGACUUGAACUUGCUUCUCUGCAGUUGUGUGUUAGCAAAAGUAGACCAAGAUAUCUAUAUACACAUACACACACACACACACACAUAUAUAUAUAUUUGUGUGUUGUUCAUGUAGCUUGGUGUAAAACCAAAUAUAUCAGCUCAGUAGGAGUUAGCCAAAGCUAAUCAGGGAAAGGAACAAUAUCAAUAGACUACAAGAACUUCUUAACAAAAAUUCACAUGUAUAAAAUACCUUCCAUUCAGGCUGGCUGCUCUGCAAAGGAGUGAUGAAUAACUGUGCAGUCAGCACAGACCAUCAGUCACCAGAGCAGUUUUUUUCCCCCACUUUUUGUGUUAUUUCCUUUUAAGUAUACCUUUACUUCAGAGAAGCCAACCUGAGGGAUACAACCUUGCAGUAAAACCUGAAAAAAGGCUGUAAGGGUCAGGACUCUUAAAAAGAAAUAAGAAAAUCUGAGCUCUUCUUUGAGAGAUGAUGUUAAUGUAAGUGAGUUUCUUUAAUGCUUUCAAGUCCUUUGAAACCUGAAAUGUGGCUUUCUUUCUCUAUUUUAGGUGGCAGAUGUGAAGUAAAAGGUUAUGAUUUUCAGUGGUUAUUAUGACUGCUUUGUUGGGGUGUUUUUUGUCAGAAUACUCGAAUAUCCAUUUUGUACUGCAGCUUUUAACAGUCUACUGCAAAAAUACAAUUAAUCUGUCUCACAACCUUUCUCUUUCUCUGCAGGUUUUUUUUAGUGGUCAUUCCAAGACAGGAGAGCUACUUUAAAAAAAAAAUCCACAAAAAUUUCUUUUGCUGCAAACACCAAGCCUACAGCCUCAAAAGUUAAAAUCAAAGAAGGUAAAAAUAAAAUUUUAUUUCAGAAUUGUUGUAGCAUCUUAUGUAUAGCUUUUGUUAAUGUGUCAUUUCCACAGGCAUAAUAAAAUAUUAAUGUUACCAUUUGUGCUAGGAAGCACAGCAAGGGUUUUUUUUGUUUCACAGAGUUCAGGAAGGAAACCAUUAUAACUUCUAGUCAGGAUCAUAAAACAGCAAAUAGAGUAGUAAAAUUAUUUUAUAGAUUAGUGUAGUUAGGCUUGUAAGUAGUACCUGCUCUUACUGUUCAUCAUGAAGAGAUGCCUUCUAUAAGUAGGGUAAAGAUGAAGUGGAACAUGCAUAAACACAGCAUUCCACAUCCUGAAAAAGAAAUACUGGAAAAUACUGUUCCUCUUCAUACCCUUCUGUUGCCUUACCAUGUCACUAACAUUGCAGUGUGCUUGAUAUUUGUGUGCUGGAAGCAGUUCCCUGAAGGAAGGGAAGGAAAACUAAGCUGUCCAAGCCCUGUCUCUUUCUAUGUCUAUAGUUUGAUCCAGCCAGCACAGAGCUGCCUGAUAACUUCCAUUUCACUCACAAGGAGAGACUUAACUUUCCUUUUUCUCUCAAAAUAUUGAGGUAGGACAUGACCUAUGUUAUUCCUUUAAAUUCCUGUAUACAAGACACAGUAAAGCUAAGUGAGCCUUUGCUACAGGACUCUAGAAGUUUGCAUAGGUUCAUAUUUCUGACACAUUCAUAAAAGAGAAGUAGAUCAACAAGUAUUAAAUGCAAGACAAUGUCUUUGGCUCACAAAAUCGCUGAGCUGCAAUCUGUUGGAGUCUGAGAUUAUGCUGCAGAAACAGUGAUAUGUGAUCAUCCUCAUCUUCCUCAGCACUCCAUUCUUUGGCCACAGGAUGGAGAGAGACAGGAUACUGGCUUUUAAUCUGUCCAGGUUCUUAGGUUUUUAUUUUACUUCUGGUCAAGUGAAUAACAAAAAUUAGUAAGAUCAGCCUGAUGAAAUUUAAAAAUUCUAUAAAACCAUAUUUUAUUUACAUAAAGCCCUCAUUCCAGAGGCUACAUCUGUCAAGUGGGAGAGAAUGUAAAUUGCAGGUGACAGAGUAAAGUGACCUUGUAAAUAGUGUUGAUGGGAAAGAACUAUGUUAUCCGAGUUUGUAAUGAGGUAUUACAUAUGUCAGCAAAGAAAAUAGUACUUUUGGGAUUUUUUUUUUUUGCUGUGAGGACUGAGACAGAUGCAUCAACAUUUGAAGGAUAGCUGAAAUUAUUUGAAAACCAGGCUUUCAAAAAGAAGAAAACUGGUAACUUAAAAGAAAGACUUUUCUAGAAAAAGAGGUGACAUGCUGGAAUAUACCCACAUAGGAACACUCAGGAAAAAAAAACUGAUUUAUUUUUUGUGGUAUACUCCAGAGCCAAAGACUGACCCACAUUGACCUAAACUGUCUCUUAGUGUUUAAUUCUUUUUGUCCUCAAUAACGAGACAGACUGAAAGGUCAGGGGAUUUUUAAUCUCUUUGGGUAUUUCAAUAAAAAAUGCACAGAAGCAUUUUGCUUGAACUCAAAAGCUGUUCCUGAGCUUUUAGUGCUCCUUUUAUCACUACUUUUAAAGUAGCCAAAAGUUUCCAUUCUGAUUGCCUAUUAAAGUAAUUGAUUCAUUAUUUUAUUUUAUAUUAAAUUAAUUUCUAUAUGUAGAUCAUAAUUGAGGCUCAGGAUGAUGUAACCAUGUUUUCUGAUUUACUUUAGAAAAAACUUGUAUAUCAUUUAGGCUUAAACUAAUGGUUGAAAACUAGAUUUGGAUGUCAUUAUGAAUAGAUUUGAUGUAAUUAAUUUACUAUCUUGAUAACAUCUUUAUUAGGUCUUUCCUUUGGGACUGUCUUGUAAAAACAAGUCCUUCUUCCUUUUCCCUCCCACAUUCUUAAUCACAAUUUCAAAAUCACCUAAAGCUCACUGAAGAGCAGUUCUCAAGUGUUGAAGAUUUCCAUUCAAGUUUGAUUGACAGGAUGAAUGUCCUACCAAAAAGGCCAUCUAGUGUUUGGAGUGCCAGUCAAUGACUCUUUGUGACCAGCACUGAGUGUUCUUGGCUUCAUCUUAAUAUUAAAACUUCACAAUUUUUUAUAA